GCUCCAGUAACUCAGUUGGUAGAGUAGCGGCCUUUUAAGCCGUCUGUCGGGUGUUCGAGCCACCUCUGGGGCACCA
rnacentral:tRNA from 1 species